rnacentral:rRNA from 1 species
GAUGAACGCUGGCGGCGUGCUUAACACAUGCAAGUCGAGCGAAGCACCUUGACGGAUUUUUUCGGAUUGAAGCCUUGGUGACUGAGCGGCGGACGGGUGAGUAACGCGUGGGUAACCUGCCUCAUACAGGGGGAUAACAGUUGGAAACGGCUGCUAAUACCGCAUAAGCGCACAGUACCGCAUGGUACGGUGUGAAAAGCUCCGGUGGUAUGAGAUGGACCCGCGUCUGAUUAGGUAGUUGGUGGGGUAACGGCCUACCAAGCCGACGAUCAGUAGCCGACCUGAGAGGGUGACCGGCCACAUUGGGACUGAGACACGGCCCAAACUCCUACGGGAGGCAGCAGUGGGGAAUAUUGCACAAUGGGGGAAACCCUGAUGCAGCGACGCCGCGUGAGCGAUGAAGUAUUUCGGUAUGUAAAGCUCUAUCAGCAGGGAAGAAAAUGACGG